rnacentral:tRNA from 1 species
AUCGCUGUGGUCUAGUGGUUAGGACAUUGCGCUAUGGCCGCACUAACGCAGGUUCGAAUCCUGGCAGCGAUA